AUCCCUACUUACAUCUUUGCUACAAUUGUCAUCAAUAGGGUUUAAUUUGUGUGUCAAGUAAUUUUCACAUCAAAUUUUGGCGUUGUUCCUGGGGAAUAGCAAACUUGCUAAUCCCUUGUUUGUGUCGUGUCUUUAGUAUUUUCUUUUAAGUUUAUCCGUGAGUUUGUGUGUGUGUUUUUGUGUUUCUGCCGUGCCUUAAUACUUGGUUGCUGAUUGUGUUUGUUUCUUCGUUUCAGGUACUAGUUUAUGACUCGUAGUUCUCAACACAUUAGUGCAAACAUCUUGGAUUUCGAUGACGAUUUUGAAAGAACUUUGAGGCGAAAGAGGAAGCAACCAGAACCUAAUCCACCUAGUUCAAGUUCAGAGGCCGAAUCUGAAUUUGAAGAAGAAGAAGAAGU
rnacentral:lncRNA from 1 species